CUUCAAGAUACGUUCUUCAAGUUCUUUUGAUGACAAGUUUGCUGAAGUCUCCCCCUCUUUAUCAUCUUGAUUGAGUUUUGAAGCCUUUUCAUGCUUACCAACAUCCUCAUCUCUCUUUUCAUGGUAAUCUACUCUAUCAUCAAGAUUACCUGAUUCAUAAUCUUCCUCGUGAGCCUUCCUACUUCCUCUAUCCCUCGACCUAUCUUUCUCUCGAUCAGACUCCCUCUCCUCUCUAAUCUUAUCUUUCCCCUUAUCCCGAUCCCCAUCUCUAUAACUUUCCCUAUCUCUAUGUUUCUCGCGCUCCUUUCCCUUAUCCCUCUCCCUAUCCCUAGUCUUCUCUUUCCCCCUCUCCUUCUCUCGCGCCCUCUCACUAUCCUUCUCAAUCUCCCUCUCCUUCUCACGCUCUCUAUCCUUACCUCGAUCCUUCUUAUCCCUCUCCCUCUCGCGCUCUUUCUCCCUAUAUUUCUCUCUAUCAUAAUCCUUCUCCCUCGCCUUCCCAUCUUUACUCCUAUCCUUCUCCCGCUC
rnacentral:lncRNA from 1 species